AUCCUUUUCCAUUACAUAAACAUGAUGGUUGGGCAUUCACUAUUUGUGUGAUAUGUUCCUCCCUUAAAUCUUGUUGUUCACUUAGCACAUUACUCAUCUAACA